rnacentral:rRNA from 14 species
GCAUAUCAAUAAGCGGAGGAAAAGAAACUAACAAGGAUUCCCCUAGUAACUGCGAGUGAAGCGGGAAAAGCUCAAAUUUAAAAUCUGGCGGUCUUUGGCCGUCCGAGUUGUAGUCUGGAGAAGUGCUUUCCGCGCUGGACCGUGUAUAAGUCUCUUGGAACAGAGCGUCAUAGAGGGUGAGAAUCCCGUCUUUGACACGGACUACCAGUGCUUUGUGAUGCGCUCUCAAAGAGUCGAGUUGUUUGGGAAUGCAGCUCAAAAUGGGUGGUGAAUUCCAUCUAAAGCUAAAUAUUGGCGAGAGACCGAUAGCGAACAAGUACCGUGAGGGAAAGAUGAAAAGCACUUUGGAAAGAGAGUUAAACAGUACGUGAAAUUGCUGAAAGGGAAACGCUUGAAGUCAGUCGCGUCGUCCGGAACUCAGCCUUGCUUUCGCUUGGUGCACUUUCCGGAUGACGGGUCAGCAUCGAUUUUGACCGUCGGAAAAGGGCUAGAGUAAUGUGGCACCUCCGGGUGUGUUAUAGACUCUGGUCGCAUACGGCGGUUGGGAUCGAGGAACGCAGCGCGCCGCAAGGCAGGGGUUCGCCCACUUUCGCGCUUAGGAUGCUGGCAUAAUGGCUUUAAACGACCCGUCUUGAAACACGGACCAAGG